CAUCAAAAAACAACAGACAAACAGCAGUGGCUCCCUCUGAGAAGAGAAAGAAAAAGAUCAUCACUGAAAACACCCUAAGGGAAGGAAAAGGAUCAUUGGUCUAUGGUAGUGCUGUAAAGCACAAUACCAGUGAGGAAUCAGGAGAGAAAAUACUGACAACUAAAUAAGCUUCAGAACAAACUAUGAAGAGUUGGCAGCACAGACUGCACAAGAUUUCUCAGGAACAGCACCUAAGUUGCUCUGUUUGAGGUCUUCUACUGCUUGAGAAGUGCCUUAGUGCACACAAAUGUAUAUUCUACUGCAUUACCCGCAUGUACUGGCAAUCUCUCAAAAGCAAGGUGCCACAAAUGAGAUGCAGGAAUGUUUAGCUCCAGCCUCUAACCUUAUGCAAAGAAGGCAAGAGACUCUAGAAUUAAAAUGUGUCUUCUGUGCCUACCAUGUGACUCACACACAAACUACUGGUACAGCUGUGC